rnacentral:rRNA from 1 species
CAACUUUAGGCGGUGGAUCACUCGGCUCGUGCGUCRAUGAAGAACGCAGCCAGCUGCGUGAACUAAUGUGAAUUGCAGGACACAUUGAACAUCGACA